UACGUAGGGCGCAAGCGUUGUCCGGAAUUAUUGGGCGUAAAGAGCUCGUAGGCGGUUUGUCGCGUCUGCUGUGAAAGUCCGAGGCUCAACCUCGGAUCUGCAGUGGGUACGGGCAGACUAGAGUGUGGUAGGGGAGACUGGAAUUCCUGGUGUAGCGGUAGAAUGCGCAGAUAUCGGGAAGAACACCCGUGGCGAAGGCGGUGUGCUGGGUUGCAACUGACGCUGAGAUGCGAAAGUGUGGGGAGCAAACGGG
rnacentral:rRNA from 1 species